rnacentral:rRNA from 1 species
CACGUAGGGGGCGAGCGUUGUCCGGAUUCAUUGGGCGUAAAGGGCGCGCAGGCGGCCCGGAAAGUCGGAUGUGAAAACUCGGGGCUCAACCCCGAGCGUGCACCCGAUACUGCCGGGCUUGAGGCAGGUAGGGGAGAUCGGAAUUCCUGGUGUAGCGGUGAAAUGCGCAGAUAUCAGGAAGAACACCCGUGGCGAAGGCGGUUCUCUGGGACGGUACUGACGCUGAGACGCGAAAGCGUGGGGAGCGAACAGG